UGGGACAGGGGGCAGCGUUGUCGAAUUACUGGGCGUAAAGGGCUCGUAGGCGGCCAACUAAGUCAGACGUGAAAUCCCUCGGCUUAACCGGGGAACUGCGUCUGAUACUGGAUGGCUUGAGUUUGGGAGAGGGAUGCGGAAUUCCAGGUGUAGCGGUGAAAUGCGUAGAUAUCUGGAGGAACACCGGUGGCGAAGGCGGCAUCCUGGACCAACACUGACGCUGAGUGAGCGAAAAGCCAGGGGGAGCAAACGGGG
rnacentral:rRNA from 1 species